CACGUAGGGUGCGAGCGUUGUCCGGAAUUAUUGGGCGUAAAGAGCUCGUAGGCGGUGUGUCGCGUCGGCCGUGAAAACCUGUGGCUUAACUAUGGGCUUGCGGUCGAUACGGGCAUCACUGGAGUUCGGCAGGGGAGACUGGAAUUCCUGGUGUAGCGGUGAAAUGCGCAGAUAUCAGGAAGAACACCCGUGGCUAAGGCGGCUCUCUAGUACGGUACUGACGCUGAGACGCGAAAGCGUGGGGAGCGAACAGG
rnacentral:rRNA from 1 species